rnacentral:rRNA from 1 species
ACGCUAGCUACAGGCUUAACACAUGCAAGUCGAGGGGCAGCAUGGCCUUAGCUUGCUAAGGCCGAUGGCGACCGGCGCACGGGUGAGUAACACGUAUCCAACCUGCCGUCUACUCUUGGACAGCCUUCUGAAAGGAAGAUUAAUACAAGAUGGCAUCAUGAGUCCGCAUGUUCACAUGAUUAAAGGUAUUCCGGUAGACGAUGGGGAUGCGUUCCAUUAGAUAGUAGGCGGGGUAACGGCCCACCUAGUCUUCGAUGGAUAGGGGUUCUGAGAGGAAGGUCCCCCACAUUGGAACUGAGACACGGUCCAAACUCCUACGGGAGGCAGCAGUGAGGAAUAUUGGUCAAUGGGCGAGAGCCUGAACCAGCCAAGUAGCGUGAAGGAUGACUGCCCUAUGGGUUGUAAACUUCUUUUAUAAAGGAAUAAAGUCGGGUAUGGAUACCCGUUUGCAUGUACUUUAUGAAUAAGGAUCGGCUAACUCCGUGCCAGCAGCCGCGGUAAUACGGAGGAUCCGAGCGUUAUCCGGAUUUAUUGGGUUUAAAGGGAGCGUAGAUGGAUGUUUAAGUCAGUUGUGAAAGUUUGCGGCUCAACCGUAAAAUUGCAGUUGAUACUGGAUAUCUUGAGUGCAGUUGAGGCAGGCGGAAUUCGUGGUGUAGCGGUGAAAUGCUUAGAUAUCACGAAGAACUCCGAUUGCGAAGGCAGCCUGCUAAGCUGCAACUGACAUUGAGGCUCGAAAGUGUGGGUAUCAAACAGGAUUAGAUACCCUGGUAGUCCACACGGUAAACGAUGAAUACUCGCUGUUUGCGAUAUACUGCAAGCGGCCAAGCGAAAGCGUUAAGUAUUCCACCUGGGGAGUACGCCGGCAACGGUGAAACUCAAAGGAAUUGACGGGGGCCCGCACAAGCGGAGGAACAUGUGGUUUAAUUCGGUGAUACGCGAGGAACCUUACCCGGGCUUAAAUUGCAGAUGAAUUACGGUGAAAGCCGUAAGCCGCAAGGCAUCUGUGAAGGUGCUGCAUGGUUGUCGUCAGCUCGUGCCGUGAGGUGUCGGCUUAAGUGCCAUAACGAGCGCAACCCUUGUUGUCAGUUACUAACAGGUUCCGCUGAGGACUCUGACAAGACUGCCAUCGUAAGAUGUGAGGAAGGUGGGGAUGACGUCAAAUCAGCACGGCCCUUACGUCCGGGGCUACACACGUGUUACAAUGGGGGGUACAGAGGGCCGCUACCACGCGAGUGGAUGCCAAUCCCCAAAACCUCUCUCAGUUCGGACUGGAGUCUGCAACCCGACUCCACGAAGCUGGAUUCGCUAGUAAUCGCGCAUCAGCCACGGCGCGGUGAAUACGUUCCCGGGCCUUGUACACACCGCCCGUCAAGCCAUGGGAGCCGGGGGUACCUGAAGUGCGUAACCGCGAGGAGCGCCCUAGGGUAAAACUGGAG